GGCUUGCGUUGAAACAACAGUUCUCGUAUGAUCACCGAAGUUAAGCAACGUCGAACAUGGUCAGUACCUAGAUAGGUGACCAAGUGGAAAUACCAGAUGCUGUAAU